UAUCGUGUUCUUCUGUGACAGCCGCGGC
rnacentral:sRNA from 1 species